ACGGGUGAGUAACACGUAGCUUACCUUCCUCUCAGCGCGGGAUAACGGCUCGAAAGAGCUGCUAAUACCGCAUAAGCUCACGGUUUCUAGAGAAUUGUGAGAAAAGGCUUAGGUCACUGAGAGACGGGGCUGCGGCCCAUCAGCUAGUUGGCGAGGUAAAGGCUCACCAAGGCGACGACGGGUAGGGGACCUGAGAGGGUGACCCCCCACACUGGGACUGAGACACGGCCCAGACUCCUACGGGAGGCAGCAGUGAGGAAUAUUGCACAAUGGGCGCAAGCCUGAUGCAGCGACGCCGCGUGAGUGAAGAAGGCCUUCGGGUCGUAAAGCUCUUUUCUGCGUGACGAGCAAGGACGGUAGCGCAGGAAUAAGUCUCGGCUAACUACGUGCCAGCAGCCGCGGUAAAACGUAGGAGACAAACGUUAUCCGGAGUUACUGGGCGUAAAGGGCGUGUAGGCGGUUUGUUAAGUCUGGCGUGAAAGCUCUCGGCUAAACCGGGAGAGGUCGUUGGAUACUGGCAAACUAGAGGACGGUAGAGGCGUGUGGAAUUCCGGGUGUAGUGGUGAAAUGCGUAGA
rnacentral:rRNA from 1 species